rnacentral:rRNA from 1 species
UGGGGAAUCUUGCACAAUGGGCGCAAGCCUGAUGCAGCCAUGCCGCGUGAGUGAAGAAGGCCCUAGGGUUGUAAAACUCUUUCAGCGGGGAAGAUAAUGACGGUACCCGCAGAAGAAGCCCCGGCUAACUCCGUGCCAGCAGCCGCGGUAAUACGGAGGGGGCUAGCGUUGUUCGGAAUCACUGGGCGUAAAGCGCGCGUAGGCGGAUCAGUCAGUCAGGGGUGAAAUCCCGAGGCUCAACCUCGGAACUGCCCUUGAUACUGCUGAUCUUGAGGUCGAGAGAGGUGAGUGGAAUUCCUAGUGUAGAGGUGAAAUUCGUAGAUAUUAGGAAGAACACCAGUGGCGAAGGCGGCUCACUGGCUCGAAUCUGACGCUGAGGUGCGAAAGCGUGGGGAGCAAACAGGAUUAGAUACCCCCGUAGUCC